GGUUCAGGAUGAACGCUAGCUACAGGCUUAACACAUGCAAGUCGAGGGGCAGCAUGGUCUUAGCUUGCUAAGAUUGAUGGCGACCGGCGCACGGGUGAGUAACGCGUAUCCAACCUUCCCUAUAGUAGGGGAUAGCCCGUAGAAAUGCGGAUUAAUACCCUAUGUUGUAUUUCGAUGACAUCUGACGAAUACCAAAGGUUCACCGCUAUAGGAUGGGGAUGCGUCUGAUUAGGUAGUCGGCGGGGUAACGGCCCACCGAGCCAGCGAUCAGUAGGGUUCUGAGAGGAAGGUCCCCCACAUUGGAACUGAGACACGGUCCAAACUCCUACGGGAGGCAGCAGUGAGGAAUAUUGGUCAAUGGGCGAGAGCCUGAACCAGCCAAGUAGCGUGCAGGAUGACGGCCCUAUGGGUUGUAAACUGCUUUUAUGCGGGGAUAAAGUGAGGGACGUGUCCCUUAUUGUAGGUACCGCAUGAAUAAGGACCGGCUAAUUCCGUGCCAGCCGCCGC
rnacentral:rRNA from 1 species